rnacentral:rRNA from 1 species
UACGUAGGGGGCAAGCGUUGUCCGGAAUCAUUGGGCGUAAAGCGCGUGUAGGCGGCCCGAUUAGUCCGCUGUGAAAGUCCAGGGCUCAACCCUGGAAUGCCGGUGGAUACUGUCGGGCUAGAGUCCGGAAGGGGCGAGUGGAAUUCCUGGUGUAGCGGUGAAAUGCGCAGAUAUCAGGAGGAACACCAAUGGCGAAGGCGGCUUGCCAGAACGCGCUCGACGGUGAGGGAUGAAAGCUGGGGGAGCAAACCGG